AAGCCAGCCAGGAAGGAGGAGGCAGCCAGAGAGGCCUCCACUGUUUUCUGCAGCAGAAGACCCCCUGCUGCCAGGUCAUUGACCAUAAUAAAGAUUUUGAAUCUGGACUUUGGAAACAAGAUCCGGAGAUCCUGAAUCUGGGGAGAUCGCUUCUGGUCAAACAAAGUUAGAUUCAAACAGCCAAGAAUCAGGGAAGAAGUAUUUAAUGGCUCCGGACUCUCACUAGCUGGAGAUUUUGCUUCACCCUCUGGCAGUAGAGAAAUCAAGCUAAGUAUGCUACAUUUUCCAGUUCUAGUCUGCCAUGAUUAUGCUGGAAGGGGCGUGGGGGAAAACCCCCAACUGCCAGUUUUACAUGCUACUCACAAAUAAAAGAACAAGCAUCAAUGUCUACUUAAAAAGUUUGCAGGUUUAAAAACAACAACACUGAAGCCAAGUUUUUGUACUUUUUAGAGCUCCUUCCCCAUUCAGUGACAGGUUCUCAAUAAGGAUACCAUCUUCUUGCUUAGUAAUAAUACUUGGCGUCUCUAACAUGCUUUAGAGUAUUCAAAGCACUUUAUAUACAUUAGCAUAGUUAUCCCUAGAACAGCCUUGUAAAAUUGAUCAGUAUUUAUCCUUCUUAUUAGACAGUGAGGCCAGUGCACAGGGGCCAUAGGUCGUUGGUAGAAUCAGCUAUUUAUUAUGAUUGCUUACAUUUAUAUCCCUUCCUUUGGGUGACUAACCCAAGAUCACCCAGUGACCUUCAUGGUGAUGGAUCUGCCCCAAUCCAAUGCUUUAACUGCUACACUACACUGUUUUCUCUCAUGUGUGCUUUUUCCCCAUUCAUCAAUGAGUAUUUUAUAUAUGUUGAGACAUUUAUAUCCUGCCUUUCUGUAGAUGCACUCAAAACAAUUAAACACCAUGGCCAACAUCCUGAUUCCUGACUGGUGCAAUAGGAGAAGCACCAGUACUUCUGGAAGGUCCAGCUGACUCAAUUCCAUUGCUGGCUCAAUGGUGGGGGCAAAUUUCAAUGACCUCCCCUUCCCCAGGAAGUGCUCCAUGCCACCCAAAAAUAUGUCACUGAGGAUCACACAGCCCUCAGGGAAUCUUUUCAGGUGGCACAGAUUGCUUUCAGGGGAAGGGGAGAUUGCUGAUUGCAGUGGUGCCCGUUUAGUCUGGAACUCUUUGGAAGAGAGCAAUAUGGAUCUCCCCAGAAUGAAUUUCAACAAGCUGGGUGUGGCCACCAAGAAGAACCACCCACAUCCUGACCAAAUGCAGUUCACUUGUAUGUGGGACAUGGAGGAGAGCCCCCAAAGAGGUUCUUAAUAAAAAGGCUGGUUCAUCUGGGAGAAAGCAGUACUUAAGGUAUCCCAGUCCCAACUCAUUAAGGACUUUCAUAUUCAUGGCCACCACCUGUGGCCUAGGAACCGAAUGGAAGCCAGUGAAGCUGUCUUAACAUGGGAGUCACAUGCUCCCAAUGUUUGAAACUUUCCAGCUGAAGUUUCCAAAUCAUUUUCAGAGGCAGUUUCACAUCUUAUAGAAUUAAACGGGGGGGGGGGGGUGUAGGCCAUUAGCUUGGUGCAGAAAAUCCAGAGUUAGAGGUUCCCCAACAGACGGCUGUCCAACCUCUGCUUGAAAACCUCUAAGGGAGAGUCCCCCAUCCCCCUGGGUCAUUGAUCCCAUUGUGACAAAAGCCCAUUGUAACUGACAUUGUGACAAAAGCCCAUUGUGACAAAAGCCCAUUGUAACUGGGGUUAAUGGAAGUUAAGUUCAACAUCAUCUGGGAAUCCAAGAUUGGAAACCCCUGGCUUAGAUGAACAGAAUGUUUUCAAUGGGGGCUACCUCCUGAUCCACUAGGCUGCACCAGAAACCAUGUCCUUACCUGCACGUUUCCAUUCAUGGGAAUAGCUUGGCAGGCUGGGUAGGAAUUCUAGCAUCCUUUCUUGGAGGGACCAGCUGACAUUUCACAAGGGUGCUAGUUCUGUGUUCAGUUCACUCUGAACUGAUCAGGGCAACAAUGAGGCCUGUAUGACCUGCUCAGUACUCUGCAUAGGAACACAGGAAGCUGCCUUCUACUGAGUCAGACCAUUGGUCCAUCUAGCUCAGCAUUGUCUAUGCAGACUGGCAGCGGCUUCUCCCAGGUUACAGGCAGAAGUCCCUCUCAGCCCUAUCUGGAGGAUGAAUAUAGGAAGCUGCCAUAUAGUGAGUCAGACCCUUGGUCCAUCUAGCUCAAUAUUUUCUACACAGACUGGCAGCAGCUUCUCCAAGGUUGCACGCAGGAAUCUCUCUCAGCCCUAUCCUAGAGAUGCUACCAGGGAGGCAACCUUCUGCUCUUCCCAGAGUGGCUCCAUCCCCUAAGGGGAAGAUCUCACACAUCAAGUCUCCUUUUCAUAUGCAACCAGUGUGGACCUUGCUUAGCUAAGGAAACAAGUCAUGCUUGCUACCGCAAGACUAGCUCUCCUCAGGAGGGAACUUGAAACCUUCUGCAUGCAAGCAUGCAGAUGCUCUUCCCAGAGCGGCUCCAUCCCCUAAGGGGAAUAUCUUAACAGCACACACACAUGUAGUCUCCCAUUCAAAUGCAAACAAGGGAAGACCCUGCUUAGCAAAGGGGGCAAUUCAGGAACAGACUGUGCUCCUAGAAAAUGCCCCCAAAUCCUUUGCAACACACAAGAUAGCUGAAUAGUAAAUACAGCAAUGUAGAAAAGCCACUGGACAGAAGCCCUCUUCAGACUUUAAAAACAAAACAUUGAACACAACUCCUCUAAAAAGCCACCUAAUGGUGCAGCGGGAAAUGACUUGACUACCAAGCCAGAGGUUGCUGGUUCAAAUCCCUGCUGGUAUGUUUCCCAGACUAUGGAAAACAUCUAUAUUGGGCAGCAGCAAUAUAAGAAGAUGCUGAAAGGCAUCAUCUCAGACUGCAUGCGAGGAGGCAAUGGUACAGCCCUCCUGUAUUCUACCAAAGACAACCACAGGGCUCUGUGGUCACCAGGAGUUGACACCAACUCGAUGGCACACUUUACCUUUAUUCCUCUAAAACAGGGUCGGAAGCACCUUCCUGGCCCCAUCGCUCAGCCCCUCACAGGUGCUGGUCAUAGAUACACUGGCAUUCAUCUGAAGAGGCAAACACUGUAUCCAUGAAUGUGUUGCUUCCAUGCAUGCCCCAGUCUCCCAAUCAUGGAAACACCCACCUUCAUGGAUAUAGCAUUUGUCUUGAAUGGCACCUGCAAGAGGGUGAGUGACAGGGCCAGGGUGGGAUUUCCAGCCCCAUUGUAGAUGCUGUACUCAUGUACAGCAUUUUGUUUUGAAUAUCUGAACAGGUCUAUAGUCAGUAAUAACUUUUAAAGUCGUGAUUCUUUUAUAUUUAGCAGGAGGAUAGCAACUGCCUUAUCCAACCCCAGCACAGCAUCCCUCCAGUGGCUGUUGCUGGUAUCUGCCUGAUGUUUCUUUUUAGAUUGUGAGCACUUUGGGGACAUGGGAUCAUUUUAUUAAUGCAUUAUUUAUUUUUCUAUGUAAACCACUUUGAGAACUUUGGUUGAAGAGCCAUAUAUAGAUAUUCGUAGUAGUGUGGUAGUAGCUUGAUGGAAGGAAGUUUCCAUUUAUCUUCACAAAAGCCCAAGAAAGAGAUUCUAGAAUGCAUGCGCCUUCCACUGCUAAAUUGUUUAGGAACAGCAAGCUUUCCUUUUGUUAGGUCUGAAGCUUCAGUUCAAUCACCUUUGGUUGCCAUCAUAUUGGAGAUUGAAAUAAAUGUCACAUAAAAACCUGUUGUUUCCUUUGCACCAGUCCCCUACCCCCACCAAGUACAGCUUUAUGGGGCCCAUCUCAUUAGUGCUGAAAGCCCUUAAAAAUGCCAUAAGGCUUUUAACUGGCAAAAUAUACAUCUUGGAUUAACUUGAGCUGUUAUUUUGACUUUUCCCCUGCUGACACCCAGAACUGCUGCCUCUUUUAAAAAACGGUCUGCUGGCUCUGCUUGAUACCUUUAUGAGCAGAGAUGCCACCACGAUUCUAAUUUCUGGACUUGGAAAUAUGGACCUCGGGGGUUCGUAAUGCUUUGGUGUUAAUAACAUAAUAAGAGCCCUGCUGAAUCAGGCCUAUCUGGUACAGCAUCGUGUUUCUCACAGUGGCCCACCAGGAAAUGCACAAGCAGGGCAUGAAGGCAAUAGCAAUCCCUUGCUGUUCCUUCUUCUCAAUGACUGGUAUUGAAGGUAUCCUGCCUCUGAACCUGGAGGUAGCAUAAAGCCAUCAGGACUAGUAACCAUUCAUAGACUUUUCCUUCCAUGAAUGUGUCUGAUCCUCUUUUAAAGCCACCUAAGCUAGUGGUCACCACCACCAUCUUUUGGUGCCGUGAAGUCCACACGUUCAUUAUAUGUGACCAUUGCUUGUGGCAGCAACCAGCAAGUUCUGAAGGUUCAUUAUGCAACGUGUGAAGAAUAUCCACACAUAUAUAUCCACCCCCAGCACAGUACCUCCAGUGACAGUUGCUGGUGUCUAUCUUGUGUUUCUUUAGAUUGUGAGCCCUUUGGGGACAGGUAGUUAUCUUAUUUAUUUAUUAUUUCUUUGUGUAAACCGCCCUGAGCCAUUUUUGGAAGAGCGGUGUAGAAAUCGAAUGAAUGAAUGAAUGAAGAAAUGCUUGCUUUUGUCCAUACUAAAUCUCCUAUCAAUCUGUUUCUUGGGCUUCAAGGGGAAGAAACUGUUCCAGCUCCCACAAAAGAGAGACUCACCAAAUUUGGACGUAACAAGAAAACAGAGGUUCCUUCACCUCCA